ncrna:unclassified sequences S15-Flavobacteria ribosomal protein leader
UAUCUUUGCGCCCUGAUUAUCAUAGUGGUAAUCUGUACAUAAAAAUCAUUAAACUAAUAUUGGCAUG